rnacentral:rRNA from 1 species
AUGGAGAACAAGCCAAGCGAGCAUCUCAGUAACAUAUUCACAAUAACACCCACAAAUGGAUCUGGAUAUCUUGACAACAAUACGAUAAAGCAGACCAUACUUGCACAAGAAGCUACAUUCCGGGAACAGGUCAUAGAACUUCACCGUGUGUACAACGUUCAAAAGAACCUAAUGGAAUUAGAAUGCCAAAGAGGUGAAUUAAGUACACAUUCUCAAGAGAAAAUGUCUUCAUCACCAUAUGGGGGUAUAAGAACAGUCCGGCUAGUUGAGCCUCCUGCUGGACAUGAUAUGAAGAAACCAUCUGAAAAAUUCAUGAAGGGAAAAGAUUUAGUGUGUAGUUCAAAUGGAGUUUCUAUGAGGCAUAGCAGUAGUAGGCCCACACAAGAAAAACUAGCCUUUCGGGUUUCAGAUGAUGCACAUGCCAAUAAUAGUGAUGAUGAUGUGGUGAUACUAGCGGAGAAGCCUACAAAUAGUCCAGUAAGAAAUAAAAGUUCCUAUCCUUGUACAAAUGUGAAGGACCUUCAGGUUCCAGCUGAUGCGCAUGCCAAUGACAAUGAUGAUGAUGUGGUGAUACUAUUAGAGAAGCCUGCACAUAGGUGGCCAAUAACUAAUGCUUCAAUUAUUGGUACAAAUGCAAAGGACCUUCAGGUUCGAGCUGAUGCACAUGCAAAUGAUAGUGAUGAUGAUGUAGUGAUAUUGUCAGAGAAGCCUGCAAAAAGUUUGCCAAGAAAGCAUGGUUCAAUUCUUGGUACAAAUUUGAAGAACAUUCUGGUUCCAAUUGGUGCACAUGUUUAUGAUUGUGAUGAUGAUGUGGUGAUACUAUUAGAGAAGUCUGCAGACAAUUUGCCAAGAAAUAAUGGUUCAAUUCUUGGUUCAAAUGUGAAGCUUAACAGUGAGGGCUCCUCACGCGUGAAUAAGAAGUGGAUCAAUAGUUUACAACCAUCAGAUCUAUCAACAAUGGAUGUUUUGAACAAAGAAGUUGUAGGGCCAUCUAGUACUAUGGAAACAACAAACUUCCCAAGUGUGGGAAGUUCAAGUUCUCAGAACCAGGUCUAUUCGGUCGCAGGAGUGAACCUGAACCUCCCAAAUGUGAAGCUUGAAAUUGAGCCAUCCUCGCUUGUGAAAAAGAACCAUGGUAGUGGUUUACAACAAUCACAUGUCUCAACAUUGAAUGCUUUCAAUACAAAAGUGGUAGGGUCAUCUAGUACUAUGAAAAUAGAAGACUUCCCAAGUGUGGGUGCCUCCAGUUCCCAAAACCAAUGUUAUUCAUCGCUAGGAUUGGACCUGAACCUCCCAAGCUUAGAAGAUACCUUGAAAGGAAAGCAUGAGGGUGCAGCCAUUGAUUCAAACUUCUUGGUUGCAAAUGAGGAAACACAACAUAACAAUUCAUACAUCCACAAAAAAUAUGCAUCCACCUCCAAUGCUACAUCCAAAUCUCUACGGAAAAGCAACACUAAAGAUUACAAGAAUGGUCGCCUUCCAACAUUACAAGAAUAUAGUCGCCUUCCAACAUUACAAGAAUAUAGUCGCCUUCCAACACCAAAGACUACACAACCUGGAGGGGGUCAAUAUCAAAAGCAAUCCCAAUUCUAUAAUUGUGUAGAGGACAUGAAUCUGAGCAAUGGUCCUCGAGAUGCAACUGCCACUCCAGGAGAAGCAAGAGAGGAUACCCCAAUGGAAAUCUCGUGGAUCAGAAAGAAGUUGCUAAACAUGAGGAAGGGAAUCUCCAUGAAGAAGACACAAGUGCCAUCAAAUUAUCCAACUGGGCAUUCCCAGAUUUUGCCUAGUUCCAUGGCUUACUCAGAAGGUAGUUCAAAAAAUCUUGGUUCCCCUAUUAAUACAACCACCGAGAAAGAUCCUCAACUCUCGUGCACUAUGCACAAGGGCACAAACGACACAUCCUCGAGUAAGGGUGUAGAUAACAUGGAAAUGCAAUUCCAUAACAAGGAUGACACCAAUGCCAGGAAUCUCAUCGACUUGAAUGUUGCACUACCUUUCAUGGAUGAAAUGGAGAUAGAUGCCCACGUACCAGAAAGCGACACUAUUCCUCAAGAACCAGAUGAUUCUUCUAAUCAUGUUGUGACAGCUGCGAAGAAUCUUACGGCCAUGCAUAAGGUUGAGUUCCAAGAAGGAUUACCUGAAGGUAAUAACAAUGAUGAUGACUCUAACGCUCUGAAACAAUAA